AACGAACGUUAGCGGCGCGCUUAACACAUGCAAGUCGAACGAGAAAGGGCUUCGGCCCCGGUACAGUGGCGCACGGGUGAGUAACACGUGGGUAACCUUCCCUCGAGCGGGGGAUAACGUUCCGAAAGGAACGCUAAUACCGCAUAAGACCACGGCUUCGAGCGGAGCUGAGGUAAAAGUAGGCCUCCGAAUUCACGCUUACACUCACGGAUGGGGCCGCGGCCCAUCAUGGUAGUGGGUAGGGUAACGGCCUACCAAGCCGAAGACGGGUAGCUGGUCUUAGAGGAUGAUCAGCCACACUGGAACUGAGACACGGUCCAGACUCCUACGGGAGGCAGCAGUGGGGAAUCUUGCGCAAUGGGCGAAAGCCUGACGCAGCGACGCCGCGUGGGUGAUGAAGGCCUUCGGGUCGUAAAGCUCUGUGGGGAGAGACGAAUAAAGCAGGAAUAACACUCCUGACGAUGACGGUAUCUCCUUAGCAAGCACCGGCUAACUCUGUGCCAGCCGCCGCCGUAACAC
rnacentral:rRNA from 1 species